rnacentral:tRNA from 6 species
UUAGCUCAGUUGGUAGAGCGUCUGCCUUACAAGCAGAAUGUCGGCGGUUCGACUCCGUCA